rnacentral:rRNA from 1 species
GAUGAACGCUGGCGGCGUGCCUAAUACAUGCAAGUCGAGCGAACGGACGAGAAGCUUGCUUCUCUGAUGUUAGCGGCGGACGGGUGAGUAACACGUGGAUAACCUACCUAUAAGACUGGGAUAACUUCGGGAAACCGGAGCUAAUACCGGAUAAUAUUUUGAACCGCAUGGUUCAAAAGUGAAAGACGUUCUUGCUGUCACUUAUAGAUGGAUCCGCGCUGCAUUAGCUAGUUGGUAAGGUAACGGCUUACCAAGGCAACGAUGCAUAGCCGACCUGAGAGGGCGAUCGGCCACACUGGAACUGAGACACGGUCCAGACUCCUACGGGAGGCAGCAGUAGGGAAUCUUCCGCAAUGGGCGAAAGCCUGACGGAGCAACGCCGCGUGAGUGAUGAAGGUCUUCGGAUCGUAAAACUCUGUUAUUAGGGAAGAACAUAUGUGUAAGUAACUGUGCACAUCUUGACGGUACCUAAUCAGAAAGCCACGGCUAACUACGUG